rnacentral:rRNA from 1 species
AACGCGAAGAACCUUACCUGGGUUUGACAUCCCCGGACAGCCCUAGAGAUAGGGUUUCCCCUUCGGGGGCCGGGAGACAGGUGCUGCAUGGCUGUCGUCAGCUCGUAUCGUGAGAUGUCGGGUUAAGUCCCUUAACGAGCGCAACCCUUGUCCCUAGUUGCCACCAUUUAGUUGGGCACUCUAGGGAGACUGCCGGUGUUAAACCGGAGGAAGGUGGGGAUGACGUCAAGUCCUCAUGGCCCUUAUGUCCAGGGCAACACACGUGCUACAAUGGCCGAUACAAAGGGUUGCUAACCCGCGAGGGGGAGCUAAUCUCAGAAAGUCGGUCUCAGUUCGGAUUGAAGUCUGCAACUCGACUUCAUGAAGCUGGAAUCGCUAGUAAUCGCGGAUCAGAACGCCGCGGUGAAUACGUUCCCGGGCCUUGUACACACCGAGUAUA